UGAAUACGAGACGCUACGGCGUCGAAGCAGUCGAUGUCAUACUUCCAAGAAAAGCUUGCAAUGUCAUAAACAAAUAAUGCCUGUACCAUAACCGACACAGGUGGGUAGGUAGAGUAUACUAAGGGGCGCGAGAUAACUCUCUCUAAGGAACUCGGCAAAAUGACUCCGUAACUUCGGGAGAAGGAGUGCCUUAUUUAUAAGGUUGCAAUAACAAGAUCCAAGCAACUGUUUAUCAAAAACACAGGUCUCCGCUAAGUCGUAAGACGAUGUAUGGGGGCUGACGCCUGCCCAGUGCCAGAAGGUUAAAGAAGUUGGUUAGCAUCCGCGAAGCUGAUAACUGAAGCCCUGGUGAACGGCGGCCGUAACGAUAACGGUCCUAAGGUAGCGAAAUUCCUUGUCGGGUAAGUUCCGACCCGCACGAAAGGCGUAAUGAUUUGGAUACUGUCUCGGAGAGGGACUCGGUGAAAUAGACUUGUCUGUGAAGAUGCGGACUACCUGCACCUGGACAUAAAGACCCUAUGAAGCUUUACUGUAACUUGAAAUUGAAAUUGGACUUUAUUUGCGCAGUAUAGGUGGGAGGCGUUGAGAAUAUUCUUGCGGGAAUAUUGGAGCCAUCAGUGAGAUACCACUCUUGUAAUGUUAGAUUUCUAACUUUGCAUCAUUAUCUGGUCAAAGAACAGCUUCAGGCGGGCAGUUUGACUGGGGCGGUCGCCUCCCAAACGGUAACGGAGGCGUACAAAGGUUUCCUCUGAACGGGUAGAAAUCGUAUCUAGAGUGUAAAGGCAUAAGGAAGCUUGACUGUGAGACCUACAAGUCGAGCAGGGACGAAAGUCGGUCUUAGUGAUCUGACGGUGCUGAGUGGAAAGGCCGUCACUCAACGGAUAAAAGUUACUCUAGGAUAACAGGCUGAUCUCCCCCAAGAGUUCACAUCGACGGGGAGGUUUGGCACCUCGAUGUCGGCUCAUCGCAUCCUGGGGCGGUAGUACGUCCCAAGGGUUGGGCUGUUCGCCCAUGAAAGCGGUACGCGAGCUGGGUUCAGAACGUCGUGAGACAGUUCGGUCCAUAUCCGGUGUAGGCGUUAGAAUAUUGAGAGGAGCCUUCUUUAGUACGAGAGGACCGAGAAGGACAUACCUCUGGUGUACCAGUUAUCGUGCCAACGGUAAACGCUGGGUAGCUAUGUAUGGAGAGGAUAACCGCUGAAAGCAUCUAAGUGGGAAGCCCACCUCAAGAUAAG
rnacentral:rRNA from 1 species